AGAAUCAACGCUGGCGGCGUGCCUAACACAUGCAAGUCGAACGAGAAAGGGGAGCAAUCCCUGAGUAAAGUGGCGACCGGGUGAGUAACACGUGACUAACCUACCCUCGAGUGUGGAAUAACAUCGGGAAAACCGAUGCUAAUACCGCAUAACAUCGGCGCUUUUAAGAGAUGCCGAUCAAAGGAGCAAUCCGCUUGAGGAGGGGGUCGCGGCUGAUUAGCUAGUUGGCGGGGUAACGGCCCACCAAGGCGAAGAUCGGUAGCCGGCCUGAGAGGGCGCACGGCCACACUGGAACUGAAACACGGUCCAGACUCCUACGGGAGGCAGCAGUGGGGAAUUUUGCGCAAUGGGGGAAACCCUGACGCAGCAACGCCGCGUGGAGGAUGAAGCCCCUUGGGGCGUAAACUCCUUUCGACCAAGACGAUAAUGACGGUACUGGUGGAAGAAGCACCGGCUAACUCUGCGCCAGCAGCCGC
rnacentral:rRNA from 1 species